UUUUAUUUGAGAGUUUGAUCCUGGCUCAGGAUGAACGCUGGCGGCGUGCCUAACACAUGCAAGUUGAGCGAUUUACUUCGGUAAAGAGCGGCGGACGGGGGAGUAACGCGUGGGUAACCUACCCUGUACACACGGAUAACAUACCGAAAGGUAUGCUAAUACGGGAUAAUAUAUUUGAGAGGCAUCUCUUGAAUAUCAAAGGUGAGCCGGUACAGGAUGGACCCGCGUCUGAUUAGCUAGUUGGUAAGGUAACGGCUUACCAAGGCGACGAUCAGUAGCCGACCUGAGAGGGUGAUCGGCCACAUUGGAACUGAGACACGGUCCAAACUCCUACGGGAGGCAGCAGUGGGGAAUAUUGCACAAUGGGCGAAAGCCUGAUGCAGCAACGCCGCGUGAGUGAUGAAGGCCUUCGGGUCGUAAAACUCUGUCCUCAAGGAAGAUAAUGACGGUACUUGAGGAGGAAGCCCCGGCUAACUACGUGCCAGCAGCCGCGGUAAUACGUAGGGGGCUAGCGUUAUCCG
rnacentral:rRNA from 1 species